GACAGAGGGGGCAAGCGUUGCUCGGAAUCACUGGGCGUAAAGGGCGCGUAGGCGGGAUGGCAAGUCAGUCGUGAAAUCUCUCGGCUCAACCGAGAAACGUCGGCUGAUACUGCCGUUCUUGAGGGAUGCAGAGGAGACUGGAAUUCCCGGUGUAGCGGUGAAAUGUGUAGAUAUCGGAAGGAACACCAGUGGCGAAGGCGGCUUCCUGGACUAAUACUGACGCUGAGGUGCGAAAGCGUGGGGAGCAAACAGG
rnacentral:rRNA from 1 species